rnacentral:rRNA from 1 species
GACGUAGGGCGCGAGCGUUGUCCGGAUUUAUUGGGCGUAAAGAGCUCGUAGGCGGCUCAUUGCGUCAACCGUGAAAACCAGCAGCUCAACUGUUGGCUUGCGGUUGAUACGGGUGGGCUGGAGUUCGGUAGGGGAGACUGGAAUUCCUGGUGUAGCGGUGAAAUGCGCAGAUAUCAGGAGGAACACCGGUGGCGAAGGCGGGUUGCUGGGCUGACACUGACGCUGAUGUGCGAAAGCUAGGGGAGCGAACGGG